rnacentral:rRNA from 1 species
GACGAACGCUGGCGGCGUGCUUAACACAUGCAAGUCGAACGGAAAGGCCCUGCUUUUGUGGGGUGCUCGAGGGGCGAACGGGGGAGUAACACGUGAGUAACCUGCCCUUGACUUUGGGAUAACUUCAGGAAACUGGGGCUAAUACCGGAUAGGAGCUCCUGCUGCAUGGUGGGGGUUGGAAAGUUUCGGCGGUUGGGGAUGGACUCGCGGCUUAUCAGCUUGUUGGUGGGGUAGUGGCUUACCAAGGCUUUGACGGGUAGCCGGCCUGGGAGGGUGACCGGCCACAUUGGGACUGAGAUACGGCCCAGACUCCUACGGGAGGCAGCAGUGGGGAAUAUUGCACAAUGGGCGGAAGCCUGAUGCAGCAACGCCGCGUGCGGGAUGACGGCCUGCGGGUUGUAAACCGCUUUCGCCUGUGACGAAGCGUGAGUGACGGUAAUGGGUAAAGAAGCACCGGCUAACUACGUG